rnacentral:lncRNA from 1 species
CCGGGACGCCCAGCGCGGGCGCGCAGCAGGGGGAAGGGAAGCGCGGCUCGGUCGGCACGGGUGGAGAGGGCGUGAGGCCGCCCUACGGUGGCCGUCGAGGGACGGCGCUACGGCUCCCACGCUGGGCCAAACGCCUCCGGCGGCCGCGCCCGGGAGCCCCUUCACCUGCAGGGUGACCCCAGCCGGGGACGCGUGAACCACGCCCUCAGCCGCCCUGCCGGCGCCCCCAGCCGCGCGCCCCGGCACCAUGCGGCCGCCCUGCGCACGGAGCCCCGAGGGACAGGGGCACCUGCAGGCCCGGCCCCUAGCACCGCCGGCCGGCCCCGAGGUCCGGGACGCCGGCGCCGCCGCCGCGGAGAGGGCACCGGGCCGACGCCUCCCCCCAGGCUCAGCUGCGGGCUUCCAGGCCUAGGCGCCCAUGAACCCUACGCUGACCGCCGCCUGGACACCGCCGCCGCCGCCACUGCGAGCUAGCGCUGCCGCCGCCGGGGCCCAAUGCCGGUCAUGCCCAUUCCGCGGCGGGUGCGCUCCUUCCACGGCCCGCACACCACCUGCCUGCAUGCGGCCUGCGGGCCCGUGCGCGCCUCCCACCUGGCCCGCACCAAGUACAACAACUUCGACGUGUACAUCAAGACGCGCUGGCUGUACGGCUUCAUCCGCUUCCUACUCUACUUCAGCUGCAGCCUGUUCACUGCGGCGCUCUGGGGUGCGCUGGCCGCCCUCUUCUGCCUACAGUACCUGGGCGUUCGGGUCCUGCUGCGCUUCCAGCGCAAGCUGUCGGUGCUGCUGUUGCUGCUGGGCCGCCGGCGCGUGGACUUCCGCCUGGUGAACGAGCUGCUCAUCUACGGCAUCCACGUCACCAUGCUGCUGGUCGGGGGCCUGGGCUGGUGCUUCAUGGUCUUCGUGGACAUGUGAGGGCCGUGGGCGCGAGCUUGAUGUAUCGUCCGGGCCUGUGGCUGUGUUCUCUCCAUGGGUGGGGUCGGCCAGCGCCUUCCCUUCCGCCCAUCCCCCAGGCCGUCGCUGCCCGGCGCCCACGGAGAGAAAAGAAAGGCCGCCCCUAGGCUGGCUUCCUGCGCCCACCCUCCCCGUGUGCACUCUCAGGGGCAGCACCCACCUGCCGGUGGCUCCUGCUCACACGUCUUCAGGUCGUACUGCGGGGUGGGCCCUCCGUUCCGCCUCUCUGUGGGCCUCUCUCCAGGACCACAGCUGCCAGGGACUUUAGCCAUCACCUUGGGAGGCCCCAGGACACAGAGGGCUGUGUGCCCAGGAGCAAAUCCGGAGGGGGUGCCCUCCUGGCUGCAUAGCUCCUUCUGCGUGCCCUGGUCCCAGCCCCAGCCAACGGGACACGGAAGGCUCCCGUCGCUGACACACCACACUGCCACAAAGCUGCUUACUCUGCCCUGGGCCGCCUGA